GAUUUUUUUUUUGUUUUGUACAUUAGGCUAACCUAUAAAUCUCAUAUCACACUAAUCUUUCCUAUUUAACUCUAUUUUUUACAAACUCCACCAUGAUGUAUCUAUUUAACCCUCAAUACGUAAGGCCAGACGUCUAUAACCGUGUAGUGUAAGGCCAAAGAAAAAGGGUAAAUAAAAAUUGACGUUUUUUGGCUCGGGGCUUAUAAUGUGGUUCAUCAAGCAGUGUCACUAGGCUCAAAAUUUGUACUAAAGGUGAAAUAUAAAU
rnacentral:lncRNA from 1 species